rnacentral:lncRNA from 1 species
UCCACGAAGUAGAAACAAACGUGAUUGAGUCUGUGACUUUGACUGCAAAUGAUGUUGCUUCUGAAUUUGCUGAAACUGCUGCAGCUUCAAAUCAAAGUUUAUACCAUUAUGCAUGUCAUGCAAAUAAUCAUUGACGUCCCCAUCCUCAGAGAUUUGUGAGCCGCCUCCUCCAUAAUUAAAUUGAGAAUAAGGAAUCCCAGAUGUUCUCCUAAAUCUCUCUUUUCAUUGAGGUCCCCAUCCUCAGAGAUUUGUGAGCCUCCUCCUCCAUAAUUAAAUUGAGAAUAAGGAAUCCCAGAUGUUCUCCUAAAUCUCUCUUCCUUGAAGGAGUAUGAAGGCACAGUUUUCAAACGAGUGCGAAGAACCUUAAAGGCUGCACUUUGCUGCAUCAAUUGAUUAAAAGAUACUUUAGAUUAGCAAUAUAUUAUUACGAGUCUAUGACUAAUUGACUAUCUAUUGAGUCCUUAGCUUUUGAAUGAUAUAUUUAACUUUAGAUUAGCAAGAGCACAUAUAAUUGCAUUCUAGUGAUGAGGAUAUGGAAAUUUGGCAUGCAAUAUUUCUUUUUUGACUUACAACAACAACAACCCAGCAUAAUCCCACGUAGUGCAGCAUAAUCCCAUGUAGUGGGGUCUGAGGAGGGUAGUGUGUACGCAAACCUUACCCCUACCUGGGGUAGAGAGGUUGUUUCCAAAUAGACCCCCGGCAUCCUUCCCUCCAAGAACUUCCCACNNNNNNNNNNNNNNNNNNNNNNNNNNNNNNNNNNNNNNNNNNNNNNNNNNNNNNNNNNNNNNNNNNNNNNNNNNNNNNNNNNNNNNNNNNNNNNNNNAGAACUUCCCACCUUGCUCUUGGGGAGAUUCGAACUCACAACCUCUCGGUUGGAAGUGGGGGUUGCUUACCAUCAGAGCAACCCCUCUUACCAUCAGAGUAACCCCUCUUUUUUGACUUAGGCACACACAUAUCACAUGUCAGAUAGGAAAGCAUCACUGAUGCGAAAUUUUACAUUAAACCUCACAUAACUGACAUUAGUUGUGUCAUGUGUGAGCGUUUUUAUCAGUUGACAAGUGUACAUUGUGGGUCCCACACAAUCUUCAUUCUCAUGUCCUACCUUCUCCACCCACCAGUGCAUUGUAAGUGGAGAUGAAUACACCACUAGUCUAAUUUUCUUACUCGCUGACACAUCACAUACCCUCUCCGCCAUGUUCUCUCUCUUCAACCUCAUCCAAUCCCCAUAUCCUCCAGUUUAAGGUCCGAAAUUGGAGCGCUACUAACCCACAACCUCAUCUCUAUUUUGAUUUGGGUAAUGAAGUUUGAGAAAUCAUAAAAAAUCAUGUCCGGGUUGGAAGGAAUUGAAAUAUGGAUAGUGUAUAGAGUAAAAGUAAGGGUGGUGCUGUUAAGAACUCUCAGCGGCAAAUGGGGUUGUGGAAAAACUGAAAAGAUGGGUUGCCAAUAGGAGACCUUGAAGAGUUUGGUUCUAGUCUGGUAGAAAAAAGGAAGAUGAAAUUUUUCCUCUUUGGACGUUUAAGUUGAAACAACAGGCUUCAUUGAUUUGGCAAACUAUAUUGCUUCAAGGGAAAAGGGGCAAAAAUAGCCCUCUACUAUUAUUUAUUGUUUAGAUAUAUCUUCCGCUAUACUAUCGGACCGAAUAUACCCUUACUGUUAGGCAAACAUUCAAAUUUGCCCUCAUUUUAACGGAUUGAACACGUGGAAACUAUUAAAUAGAAGAUCCACCACUUGAAUAAAAAGACCCAGCCCCAUAUCCUAAUCCAUAGCCCAUUCGAACCUCCCCUCUCCCAUUAAAAUCAUUUAAUCCGACGGGCAGUAAUUGGGUAUUUGCUAAGGGCCGGCGAAGAGGAUGUUGUUGUGGUUGAUAAUCCAUAUGCUUUUGCUUGAAGAAUUUUGAAUUUAACAAUGUUUCUUGAAAUGGGUUUGGUUCUUGUUUUAUGUAUCCAUAGAAAAUAUAUAGAAAAAUGAUAAUGAAAAUGUUUUUCUCGGUUUGGGUCCUAGGCCUGCUGAUCUUUUUCGAUUCCUUCUGUUGAGUAUUUCUGGAUCUGAAUACUAUUAUUUUUCAUUUCUACUUUUGCUAAUUAUUGUUUUUACAAUUUUUUGGCUCAUUUAGGCCUCAUUUAUUUUAUUAAAGAUUAAGACGUCUGAAUCUGAAUACACAUCUAAAUAUCAAGAUGUGUAUUAAAAAAUAAUAAAAGUUAAGAUUGUUUGAUUUUUAACAUCUGAAUGCAUAAAAUUUAUCUUUAUUUAAAAAAUAAUAAAUAUAAAAUUCAAAUAAAAUACUAACUAAUCUAAUAUUCUAUUAAUAAAGUAUAUAGUUUUUAAAAUAUGAUAGUUGUUGGUGGUGAUGGCUAACGGGUGAAUGCCGACUAGAGGCAGUGGUUCGUGGUAGUUUUGGUUGAUGAUGGUGGUUUCAUGCUAGUAGCUAGUAGUGAUUGGUAGUGGUGGCGAUUAUGAUUGAGGAUGGUGGUAGUGGGUGGUGAUGGUUGUUAGAAUAUGUAAUAGUAGAACCCUAAUCCAAUGUGUAUUAGGAGUAGCCUAAUCCAANNNNNNNNNNNNNNNNNNNNNNNNNNNNNNNNNNNNNNNNNNNNNNNNNNNNNNNNNNNNNNNNNNNNNNNNNNNNNNNNNNNNNNNGGAGUAGCCUAAUCCAAUGUUUAUUAGGAGUAGGAUAGGUUAUGUGUAUAUAUAUAGGGCUCAUUGUAUCAUGUUUAAUAUCAAUUAUAUUUUUCUCCUUUGCUUUCUCACAAUAGUUAAUCAUGGGGGUGGUGGUAGGGGCGGACCUAUGUGCAAUCAAGGGGGCACGGGCACCCGUUAAGCUCGGAAAAAAAAAUCCUAUAUCUAUAUGUAUAUAUAUAUGCUCUAUACCUUGAGAACGUUUAAAUAUUUUAUUAGGCACCCUCAGACACAAAAGCUUGUUUGGGUCACUGGUUGCCUUUGCAGUUUAAGGCUGCUCUUAAGCUUGGAGAUUGGGGUUCGAUUCCUAGCUUCAGCAAUUCCUUGUAAGCCUAGGUUUCUUUCCUUUUGGCUUUUUUUCUUUAGUUUCUGGUUCUUUUUUUAAUGUUUUCUUCAGUUUCGGCCCCAACCCUCCUCAUAAAUAUAGAUAUAUAGAGAAUCAUUCUUCCUCAAUCUCUGGUUAGUGCUUCUCUUACUUUGAAACUCGAUUUUCUUUUUAAUUGAAGAAUUUUAGUAUUAUAUUCAAUAAGUUGAAGUAUUUGUUUUAUUCAUUAUAAGGUUAUGUCCUCCCUCAUUAGAAGACCUGAGUUCUGAGUUCGAGACCCAACACUAGCUCUUCUUUUUUAUUUGUUUUUCUCUUGGAAUUCACAAAGUGUAGUAUCCUGUAUUUAGUGUUUAAUUUUGUUCUUUAUCUUUUCUAAGUUAAUGAACAAUAAUUUUGAACUAAUAUAUAGAAGGGGAUAAGAUAUUCCAUUAACAAAAAGCCUUUAUCCUUAUAUCUAAGUUUAUAAGCGUUAUCACUUUAUUGACAUAUAUAAAAUUAAGUAAUUCACCAAAAAAUUUCCCAAAACAAUAAUUAAAUACUCCAAAAAGUAUUCUGCUUUCAAGGAUCACUUCGGCAAAGUAGCAAACAUCAAUCGAUUCAACGACAGUGACUGAGACUCUGCAUUGCUUAAUAGAUCUUUAGUCUUGAUCAUAUUUGACUAAGUUUUUUUUUUUAUAUUUUUGAACAUCUUUUAGGUCAUUAAUUCAUAUUCAUCAAGUUUUGAAGGCGUUAGUGCGCUAAAUUUUGUCGUUAUUAGCUGACAUAUCUAUGUCAAAAAUAACAGUGCCCCCGCUGCGCUCAAAUCCUGGAUCCGCCUCUGGGUGGUGGUUUGUGAUUGAGGAAGGUGGUGGUAGGUUAUAAUGAUGGGAGGUGGCAACUGUGGUGUUAAUGGUGAUGGAGUGGUUGGUUAUGGUAGUUGAGGUGGAUAAGUGUUGACUGUGGGUGAGAAUGAGGAUGGUCGGAGUGGUAGGGAUGGUGAUGGUCGAUAAUGGUGGCGACUAUGAUUGAGGAUGAUGGUGGUGAUGGUGGUUGACUAUGGUGGUAGUGGUGGUGGUGGCGGCGGCAUGGUGGUAGUUGAUAAUGGUAGGCAGUGGCGGCAGUUAUUAAUGAAUAUAUGAUAGCAUCUUAAUGAAAUUAAGUCUAUGUUAUAGAUCUUACCAUACAUACUUAUUAAGACCCAUUAAGUGGUUCUGAAAUAAAAAAAACAAACACACUUAAUGAUUAAAAUCUAAAUAAUUAAGAUUCAGACUUUAAAAACAAACGCACUUAAUGUAUGAGAUCUGAAUGAUUAAGAUUCAGACCUCCAUUAAGUGCAAACAAAUGAGGCCUUAGUGGUGUUUGCUACAAAAUUUUGAUUUUUAAUAAUUAAAAUUUUUGCAAGAUUGUUUUGAGCAUACCACCAAGAAAGAUAAGUUUUUUCCUCUUUGCAUAAGUCGACAAACUAUCUUAAAAUCUUCUUUUUGAAAGUCUUUAAAAGAAUUUGAAAAUUAUUAUAAAAAAACUCUUCUUCAAAUUUUUUAAGCAAACUCCGUCAAUAGCAGGCUUUAAGAGGAAUUAAAGAUUCUGUUAUCAUGUUGUGUUACUAUAGUGGAAACCUUUUAAAUUUUCUGUCAUGAUCAGUUUGGUAGAUCAGUUAUGAAAUCUAAUUUUGUUUUUUACUUCAUACCAUAACAGUCAGACGCCUGUGCAUUUACUGAGAAAGAGAAAAUGAUCAAGGAUUAUGGGUUUAGAGUGGUUUUAAUGGGAGGGGGAGAGGUCCCAAUGGGCUAUGGGUUAGGAUAUGGGGUUGGGUCUUUUUAUUCAAGGGUUGGAUCUUCAGUUUAAUAGCUUCCGCAUGUCCAGUCCGUUAAAGUGAGGGCAAAUUUGGAACUUUGCUUAACGGUAAGGGUAUAUUCGAUUAUGAUAGUAUAACGGAUGGUAUAUCUAAACAACAAAAAAUAGUAGAGAAUAUUUUUAGCUCUUUUCCCUUGCUUUAAUAAAACACCACCAAGUAGCUAUUGGCUAAGAGAUCUGAUAGCUUUUGAAGGAGAUUUAGUUUCCUUGGAGCCAAUUCUACCAACAGGGGAUUGAAGAGACCGGCCGAAGGAGGAAGCAGAGUGAAGGAAAUAAGGAGAAAUCUAUGGGUGAAGAGCUGGGUGAGAGAGAGGAAAGAGACGAGGGAGAUACUGGGCCUGCAUCAGACACCUGUCAUGUACUUCAAAUCUCACACAAGUAUACAUGUGUCUCAUUAAUUGUAAAAUUUCUCAUCGCAGAUAAUACAGAAGAAGCAAGAGAGCGACAAUAAGCAAAUAUUCACUUUAAAGGAAAAUGAAUAUUCAGAUUAGCUCUUUGUUAGAGUUGUCAGUAUGAUUAUGUUCCUGUACAAGAGAGCGACAAUAAGCAAAUAUUCACUUUAAAGGAAAAUGAAUAUUCAGAUUAGCUCUUUGUUAGAGUUGUCAGUAUGACUAUACAUGAAAAAUUAAGCAAUUAUGAUCACUUUUAAGCGUAAAAUCAAAGCCCUGUGACACCAAUUCUAACGAUAUAAACAAGUAAAAGCUCACUGAACUACUCAUGCGACCGUAUGCUCAGCUUUUGGCACUGUAUUAAAUUAGACUCGAGAAACUAAACUUGCAAACAAAAGCUAAUACAAGGAAACUCUUAAGACACACAUACCAGAUGAGAAUUUUCUUUUUUCGUUUUUGAGAAAGCCAGAUGAGACUAUUUUUUAUGCAAUCUUUAUAAAUGUCUCUCAAGAACUAUAGAAGCUGCAGGAACUUCUGGAACGAAAGUGCUUGCUUCUCUCUAGAACCUCAAACAAUAAUCAAGGUAUCCACUUGUUCAUUUCUGUGAAUCAACCAAAGAACGUAAGAAAUGCUAAGAGCUCCGUUUUGAAUAAAAAGGUGACUGCCUGGACACUAAUAUUGUUUGACGAUGACUGUCAUGCGAAACGAAUUAGACUGUAGUUAAUGUUCUCUGUUUCUACUUAUGAAACAAAGAACCUGAUAAAAUGCCUAAAACUUGCCUACUCGGGAGAUUCGAUCAGAACUCUCAAUAAAUGGUAGUAAGCCGGUUAUAGGAGCAUGUAAUGCAGGGACAUGCCGAAUGACAAAACAUACGCCCUGCUCCACAUGGAAAAAUUCGUCACAAAUGGAAAAUUGGUUUUCAGUGCAACCUAUGUACUGACAUUAUUAAUAUAUACAAUAGUUACCAAUUCAAAAAGAAAAGGAAUGAUGGAGGCUGCAAAUGGAGUCGAGAGACUAAAUUGAAUCUGUUAGACUGUUACUCAGCAGAAGCCCAAGAAACAUAAUAUCCAACCCAACUGUCAGAUAGACACCUGAUGCUACAUAUUGAGAGUGUACGGAAGAGGCAACAAGAACACCUAAUACACAGAAAAGAUAGACAAAGAGCCCAAACUCGUUGAGCAAUGUCUGGCCUUCUAGAGUUAGGUCACGAUGAAAAACUAAGGAAGGUGCAUAUUUAAAACUGUCGUGGAAAGAUCAGACAAAGAUGGAGCCAAAGGAAGAAUGGCCCAAAGCUUGACCAUGCUCCACAAUGCCCAGAAAAGUAACUCAGGUUGUGAAGGACUUACAUCUGGCCUGGCCCAUAAUCCUUAUUAAAAGAGCCCACAGCAGAAUUUAAUCAAAAAACCAACAACAAUGUCCAACCGAUAUUGUGGUCCCUUAUUGCUUCCAAAUCAAGUUAAUGGGAAAGCGGCCAUAGAAAACGGAGAAAACAAAGCAGCAGGAGGUGGCUGGAGACAAGUCAACAAACUACUACUUGCCCCUGAUUUUCAAGGUCAAAGAGUCCAGCAGCGUACACAAGGAAACAAAUGAAGACUACCAAUCUUAUUUGAGGGCGGCGAAGCAAUAGGACAAAAUAGGCCAGGCGCCAUAGAUCCAAAAUCCAAGUUCAGCACCAGAAGCAGGUUGGAAAACCCUAUUUACUGCAAAAGAAAGAAGGUCAGGCACGAAAUGAUGGGAAAUUGAGAAAAAGUUGGAAGAAGCAGGCCAAAUACUGAAGAACCCUAAUGGCGAGAGUCGGUGCAUUGGCAGCGAAAAAGCAACAAUCAGGUAGCAGCUUCUACGUGGAAAGAAAGUCGCACCUCUGGGAAGAAAUUCCAGCAGAAGACAGUAAUAAGAGGAGCAAGUGGUUCGAAAAGGUAGAGGGAGCAGGGGCAACUUUGAGGGAUUGGAAACAGAUGAUGGGACAAGAACGAGAUGCGAAUGGGCAAAGUUCAGGUUUCCAAAGGGUAGGCAAAAAGAUUCUAGGAUUUGGAAAAACUUUCAGGUUGUCUUUUUAGGUUGAAAGGGAGAACAUUGCAAUUGUUAUCAGAAGUUUAAAGUGGAGGCGGCGAAUUGUUAUGAACAGCAAAGAGAGUUGGGUUCGAAGAGUGAGUGAUAUGAGGAUUUUAGCGAUGCCAUAGAAAGUGAAUUUGGGGGCUUGACACAAAGUAUCAGGUAUUAUGGGAGGUGUCAUCUACCUCAAAAAAAAUUAAAAACUAUCUCAAAAAUUAUGGGAGGUGUGUAUCAUAGCGGACAACUAUGGGACUCAGGAAGUGGGUUAUAGGACUACUUAGACCACCAUGCCAUGUGGUGGAAGCCUGUGGAAAAAAAUAUUUGAAAUAAUAGGAGUUCUUCAAAAUAUUAACUUAAAGAUGGAGAAUGGAGCCCAGGUGAUUUAUGGAGACAAAUUUUUUUCUGAGAGAAAUAACUGUAUCACAAAGCAGCACUAAGGAGAAAAUCACUUCCCCGCAAUUUGCAAGAUUUCUUGUCAACAUACAACAGAUUAGCACAGUAUAUAGGUUUAGAUGAAUCUGCACGACUGAGAAGUGCAAAAGGUCCAGACCCUCCUCGAGCUGUUUAUAUAAGGAGAAAAUCUCAAUCUUUCUCAAUCAUGUUUGAAGACAAUCGAGAUGGGAGACACAUAUGUAACAAGGACUACACAGUAGUUAUUCAAUCACAGAUUUCAGAGGACAUGAUUUUUCUCGCUCAGUUUGGGUUCCCAAAGCCCAAGAAAGGUAUAAUUUUUAAUGUGAUUUAGCUCAGUGGGGAAGCCACACUUGCAUUGAUGAAACCAAGGAAAAAGAUUGUCAGCUCAUGCUUCAUUUAUAAAAAGGCAGGGUAUAAUGUGAACCACUCAUUACUUUAUUUUUCAAUUGGCACGCAGGCUAUGCAGACAGCCUGGAACUUUUAGGAGCUUGAUUGAGUGACGACUUCAGACACCUUCAAAAGGAUGCUGCAAAGUUGGCCAUUAGGGAGGAAAAGGAGUAAAGAAGGGAAGUGACACCCACACUUUUUGGCGCAUCUACAACAACAACAAAAAGACCAGUGUAAUCCCCCAAGUGGGGCCAGGGAGGGAAGUGUGUACGCGGACCUUACCCCUACCUUAAAAAGAUAGAGAGGUUGUUUCCGAUAGACCCUCGCUACAAGAACAAUAGAACUUUUUGACCCCUCUGUAGAGAAUAAAACCGACGAGCUACUGAAAGGUAGAAAAUACCUUGUUACAGAUUAAAGAAACUUUAAUGUUCUUGUACAUUUUAGGAGCACCUAUGAGAUAUUAGCAGAGAUGAUUUGUAUCUCUUUUGGAGAGCAAGAAGCGGAAAAAAGCGAGGAGGCCUUGCUUCACCGUAGCGAGAAGCGGAAAGCGAAGCGCGCGCUUUUUUCAUGUGAAGCGCAAUUCAAUACAUAAAUAAAAAAUAUUAAAUAGACACAGAUAAAUGACUAAGAACUCAAUAAAAAUAACAUAUUAAGCAAAAAUGCUUCAAGCAGUCACUAGAGAACUAAUUCAGAACACACCUGGGGUAGCAGCAUCAACAGACCAUAUAAGGCUUUUAACAACCAUAUGUAUCUUCCAGGUUCAAGAAGCUGCAAGGAAACAGUCAAUAAGUAACUCCCCAAAAUGUUUUAAUGCAAUCAAUAAGUUGAGCACAAUCAGUACAUCCAACCACACAAAAACUAUGAGUUAAUUCAACUGACACCGUGGAAA